rnacentral:rRNA from 1 species
UGGCUGCAGUGGGGAAUUUUGGACAAUGGGCGAAAGCCUGAUCCAGCAAUACCGCGUGAGGGACGAAGGUCUUCGGAUUGUAAACCUCUUUUAGGGGGAACGAAUGUCCACCUUUGGUGGAUUGACGGUACUCCCAGAAUAAGCCACGGCUAACUACGUGCCAGCAGCCGCGGUAAUACGUAGGUGGCAAGCGUUACUCGGAAUUAUUAGGCGUAAAGCGCGGGUAGGUGGUUUGAUAAGUUGGAAGUGAAAGCCCCACCAAAAGUGGGGAGGUCUUCCAAAACUAUUGAACUUGAGUAUAGGAGGGGGGAUUGGAAUUCCUGGUGUAGCGGUGAAAUGCGUAGAUAUCAGGAGGAACACCGAUGGCGAAAGCGAAUUCCUGGCCUAUUACUGACACUAAUCUGCGAAAGCAUGGGGAGCAAACAGGAUUAGAUACCCUAGUAGUC